UGGGGAAUAUUGCACAAUGGAGGGAACUCUGAUGCAGCGACGCCGCUUGAACGAAGAAGGCUUUCGAGUCGUAAAGUUCUUUCAUAUGGAAAGAGAAUGACGGUACCAUAAGAAAAAGCCCCGGCUAACUACGUGCCAGCAGCCGCGGUAAUACGUAGGGGGCUAGCGUUGUCCGGAAUCACUGGGCGUAAAGGGUUCGCAGGCGGAAAUGCAAGUCAGGUGUAAAAGGCAGUAGCUUAACUACUGUAAGCAUUUGAAACUGCAUAUCUUGAGAAGAGUAGAGGUAAGUGGAAUUUUUAGUGUAGCGGUGAAAUGCGUAGAUAUUAAAAAGAAUACCGGUGGCGAAGGCGACUUACUGGGCUCAUUCUGAAGCUGAGGAACGAAAGCGUGGGUAGCAAACAGG
rnacentral:rRNA from 1 species